GAUGAACGCUGGCGGCGUGCCUAAUACAUGCAAGUCGAGCGAACAGACGAGGAGCUUGCUCCCCUGACGUUAGCGGCGGACGGGUGAGUAACACGUGGAUAACCUACUUAUAAGACUGGGAUAACUUCGGGAAACCGGGGCUACUACCGGAUAAUAUAUUGAACCGCAUGGUUCAAUAGUGAAAGACGGUUUUGCUGUCACUUAUAGAUGGAUCCGCGCCGCAUUAGCUAGUUGGUAAGGUAACGGCUUACCAAGGCAACGAUGCGUAGCCGACCUGAGAGGGUGAUCGGCCACACUGGAACUGAGACACGGUCCAGACUCCUACGGGAGGCAGCAGUAGGGAAUCUUCCGCAAUGGGCGAAAGCCUGACGGAGCAACGCCGCGUGAGUGAUGAAGGUCUUCGGAUCGUAAAACUCUGUUAUUAGGGAAGAACAAAUGUGUAAGUAACUAUGCACGUCUUGACGGUACCUAAUCAGAAAGCCACGGCUAACUACGUG
rnacentral:rRNA from 1 species